rnacentral:rRNA from 1 species
UUCCGGUUGAUCCUUCCGGACCCGACUGCUAUCAGAGUGGGACUAAGCCAUGCGAGUCAACAUAGCAAUAUGUGGCAUACGGCUCAGUAACACGUAGUCAACAUGCCCAGGGGACGUGGAUAACCUCGGGAAACUGAGGAUAAACCGCGAUAGGUCAUCACUUCUGGAAUGGGUAAUGACUUAAAUCUAUAUGGCCCCUGGAUUGGACUGCGGCCGAUCAGGCUGUUGGUGAGGUAAUGGCCCACCAAACCUGUAACCGGUACGGGCUCUGAGAGGAGGAGCCCGGAGAUGGGCACUGAGACAAGGGCCCAGGCCCUAUGGGGCGCAGCAGGCGCGAAACCUCUGCAAUAGGCGAAAGCUUGACAGGGUUACUCUGAGUGAUUUCCGUUAAGGAGAUCUUUUGGCACCUCUAAAAAUGGUGCAGAAUAAGGGGUGGGCAAGUCUGGUGUCAGCCGCCGCGGUAAUACCAGCACCCCGAGUGGUCGGGACGUUUAUUGGGCCUAAAGCAUCCGUAGCUGGUUCUACAAGUCUUCCGUUAAAUCCACCUGCUUAACAGAUGGGCUGCGGAAGAUACUAUAGAGCUAGGAGGCGGGAGAGGCAAGCGGUACUCGAUGGGUAGGGGUAAAAUCCGUUGAUCCAUUGAAGACCACCAGUGGCGAAGGCGGCUUGCCAGAACGCGCUCGACGGUGAGGGAUGAAAGCUGGGGGAGCAAACCGGAUUAGAUACCCGGGUAGUCCCAGCUGUAAACGAUGCAGACUCGGUGAUGAGUUGGCUUAUUGCUAACUCAGUGCCGCAGGGAAGCCGUUAAGUUUGCCGCCUGGGGAGUACGGUCGCAAGACUGAAACUUAAAGGAAUUGGCGGGGGAGCA